rnacentral:rRNA from 1 species
GAGAGCAUGGCCCCCCACAAUGGGACUGAGACACGGCCCAUACUCCUACGGGAGGCAGCAGCGGGGAAUAUUGCGCAAUGGACGGAAGUCAGACGCAGCGACGCCGCGUGGGUGAGGAAGGCCUUCGGGUUGUAAAGCCCUUUUCAGGGGAGCGAGAAAGGACGGUACCCUUGGAAUAAGCGUCGGCUAACUACGUGCCAGCAGCCGCGGUAAGACGUAGGACGCCAGCGUUAUCCGGAUUUACUGGGCGUAAAGCGCCUGUAGGCGGUCAAGUAAGUCGGAUGUGAAAGCCCCGUGCUCAACGCGGGGAAGCCAUUCGAUACUGCGUGACUAGAGAACGGCAGAGGGAAACGGAAUUUCUGGUGUAGCGGUAAAAUGCGCAGAGAUCAGAAAGAACACCGAUGGCGAAGGCAGUUUCCUAGGCCGCAUCUGACGCUGAGAGGCGAAAGCUAGGGGAGCAAACAGGAUUAGAGACCCUGGUAGUCCUAGCUGUAAACGAUGGAUGCUAGGUGUGGGCCGGAAAGGUCCGUGCCGUAGUUAACGCGAUAAGCAUCCCGCCUGGGGAGUACGGCCGCAAGGCUAAAACUCAAACGAAUUGACGGGGACCCGCACAAGCAGCGGAGCGUGUGGUUUAAUUCGAUGCUACACGCAGAACCUUACCUGGGCUUGACAUGUAGGUGGUAGUGAAGUGAAAGCGGAGCGACCCUUCGGGGAGCCUACACAGGUGCUGCAUGGCUGUCGUCAGCUCGUGCCGUGAGGUGUCGGGUUAAGUCCCGUAACGAGCGCAACCCUUGUCCUUAGUUACAAGUGUCUAAGGAGACUGCCGGUGACAAACCGGAGGAAGGUGGGGAUGACGUCAAGUCAGCAUGGCCCUUAUGUCCAGGGCGACACACACGCUACAAUGGUCGGUACAAUGGGCAGCGCAGCCGCGAGGUGAAGCGAAUCCCAACAAAGCCGAUCCCAGUUCGGAUUGCAGGCUGCAACCCGCCUGCAUGAAGCCGGAGUUGCUAGUAACCGCGCGUCAGCCAUAGUGCGGUGAAUACGUUCCCGGGUCUUGUACACACCGCCCGUCACGUCAUGGGAGUUGGUAACGCCUGAAGCCGGUAGUCUGACCUAACGGAGACGCCGUCGAAGGCGGGAC